rnacentral:rRNA from 1 species
CCCCUAGAUGUUCUGGGCCGCACGCGCGCUACACUGAACAGUUCAACAAGUCUUAACCUUGGCCGAUAGGUCUGGGUAAUCUUUGAACGCUGUUCGUGAUUGGGAUAGACCUUUGCAAUUAUGGGUCUUCAACGAGGAAUUCCUAGUAAACGCAAGUCAUCAGCUUGCAUUGAUUACGUCCCUGCCCUUUGUACACACCGCCAGUCGCACCUACCGAUUGAAUGGUCCGGUGAAAUCUCGGGACGGCGGCUUGGUCGCUUGCGUCCGACUGCUGAAACUUGAUUAAACCAUAUCAUUUAGAGGAAGGUGAAGUCGUAACA